rnacentral:rRNA from 1 species
CCUACGGGAGGCAGCAGUAGGGAAUCUUUCACAAUGGGCGAAAGCCUGAAGGAGCCACGUCGCGUGCAGGAUGAAGGCCCUCUGGUUUUAAACCGCUUUUAUUAGCGAGAUAUAUGAUGGUAACUUAUGAAUAAGGAUCGGCUAAAUACGUGCCAGCUGCCGCGGCUAAACGCAGGCUGCGAGCAUAAUCCGGAGUGUCUGGGGGUUAAGAGUUGCGUAUGUGGUGUAAUAAGUAGCUAGUGAAAUCUGAUGGCGACACCAUUCAAAUUAUUAGCUAAACUGGUAAGCUCGAGAACGUUAGGGGUAAGUGGAAUUUCUAGUGUAGGGGUGAAAUGCUUAGAUAUUAGGAGGAACACCGAUAGCGAAGGCAGGUUACUAGGACGGUUCUGACACUGAGGCACGAAAGCGUAGGGAGCAAACAGGAUUAGAUACCCCAGUAGUC